UCUGGUUGAUCCUGCCAGUAGUUAUAUGCUUGUCUCAAAGAUUAAGCCAUGCAUGUCUAAGUACACACGAAUUAAAAGUGAAACCGCAAAAGGCUCAUUAUAUCAGUUAUGGUUCCUUAGAUCGUUAACAGUUACUUGGAUAACUGUGGUAAUUCUAGAGCUAAUACAUGCAUUAUAAACACGGACCUUUGGGACGUGUGCUUUUAUUAGGCUAAAACCAAGCGAUCGCAAGAUCGUUAUUAUGGUUGAACUCUAGAUAACUUGCAGAUCGUAUGGUCUUGUACCGACGACAGAUCUUUCAAAUGUCUGCCCUAUCAACUUUUGAUGGUAGUAUCUAGGACUACCAUGGUUGCAACGGGUAACGGGGAAUCAGGGUUCGAUUCCGGAGAGGGAGCCUGAGAAACGGCUACCACAUCUAAGGAAGGCAGCAGGCGCGUAAAUUACCCACUCCCAGCCCGGGGAGGUAGUGACGAAAAAUAACAAUACAGGACUCAUUAUAGAGGCCCUGUAAUUGGAAUGAGUACACUUUAAAUCCUUUAACAAGGACCUAUUGGAGGGCAAGUCUGGUGCCAGCAGCCGCGGUAACUCCAGCUCCAAUAGCGUAUAUUAAAGUUGUUGCGGUUAAAACGUUCGUAGUUGAACUUGUGCUUCAUACGGGUAGUAUAACUAUAAUUGUAGUCUGUACUAUACCUUAUGUAUGUAAGCGUAUUACCGGUGGAGUUCUUAUAUAUAUUAAAUACUUGUAUCUAUAUGUAUUCCUCCUAUUUAAACCUGCUUCAGUGCUCUUCAUUGCGUGCUGUUGUAGGCCGGUACAAUUACUUUGAACAAAUUAGAGUGCUUAAAGCAGGCUCCAAAUGCCUGAAUAUUUUGUGCAUGGAAUAAUGAAAUAAGACCUCUGUUCUACUUUCAUAGGUUUUUAGAUCAAGAGGUAAUGAUUAAUAGAAGCAGUUUGGGGGCAUUAGUAUUACGACGCGAGAGGUGAAAUUCUUGGACCGUCGUAAGACUAACUUAAGCGAAAGCAUUUGCCAAAGAUGUUUUCAUUAAUCAAGAACGAAAGUUAGAGGUUCGAAGGCGAUCAGAUACCGCCCUAGUUCUAACCAUAAACGAUGCCAGCUAGCAAUUGGGUGUAGCUACUAUUAUGGCUCUCUCAGUCGCUUCCCGGGAAACCAAAGCUUUUGGGCUCCGGGGGAAGUAUGGUUGCAAAGCUGAAACUUAAAGGAAUUGACGGAAGGGCACCACCAGGAGUGGAGCCUGCGGCUUAAUUUGACCCAACACGGGAAAACUUACCAGGUCCGAACAUAAGCGUGUAAGACAGAUUGAUAGCUCUUUCUCGAAUCUAUGGGUGGUGGUGCAUGGCCGUUCUUAGUUCGUGGAGUGAUUUGUCUGGUUAAUUCCGAUAACGAACGAGACUCAAAUAUAUUAAAUAGAUGCUUUCAGGAUUAUGGUGUUUGAAGCUUUUAUAGCCUUCAUUCAUGA
rnacentral:rRNA from 1 species